AGCGAACGCUGGCGGCAGGCCUAACACAUGCAAGUCGAACGAAGUCUUCGGACUUAGUGGCGGACGGGUGAGUAACACGCGGGAACGUGCCUUUAGGUUCGGAAUAACUCAGGGAAACUUGUGCGAAUACCGAAUGUGCCCUACGGGGGAAAGAUUUAUGGCCUUUAGAGCGGCCCGCGUCUGAUUAGCUAGUUGGUGAGGUAAAGGCUCACCAAGGCUGCGAUCAGUAGCUGGUCUGAGAGGAUGACCAGCCACAUUGGGACUGAGACACGGUCCAAACUCCUACGGGAGGCAGCAGUGGGGAAUCUUGCGCAAUGGGCGAAAGCCUGACGCAGCCAUGCCGCGUGGAUGAUGAAGGUCUUAGGAUUGUAAAGUCCUUUCACCGGUGAAGAUAAUGACUGUAGCCGGAGAAGAAGCCCCGGCUAACUUCGUGCCAGCCGCCGCGGUAACAC
rnacentral:rRNA from 1 species